GGGCCAUAGCUCAGUGGCAGGGCAUCAUCUUUGCAUGCCAAAGGUCCCUGGUUCCAUCCCUGGCAUCUCCA